rnacentral:rRNA from 1 species
UACGUAGGGGGCAAGCGUUGUCCGGAAUCAUUGGGCGUAAAGCGCGUGUAGGCGGCCAGAAAAGUCCGCUGUGAAAACUCGAGGCUCAACUUCGAGCUGUCGGUGGAAACUUUCUGGCUAGAGUCCGGAAGAGGAGAAUGGAAUUCCUGGUGUAGCGGUGAAAUGCGCAGAUAUCAGGAGGAACACCGGUGGCGAAGGCAGCACUCUGGGACGUGACUGACGCUGAGACGCGAAAGCGUGGGGAGCAAACAGG